CUUGCUCCUGCUUAGUCGCAGCGGACUCCAAAGUUCAGCACGUUUUGAGUUUCUGAUCCUGCACACAGCGGGGGGGCACACACGACCUAAUGGCUAGUCAGGCGCCGCCCAACCCGCGUUACUCCAUAUCGGCGAACUGCCACUUUAUAACCUGUCCCCAUUUUAAUCCGCAACAAAUGCUCUCCCACCUUCGCUGCCCUCCGCUCACAAUGCAGAUACUCUGGGGGCUUGACUACAGCCAAAAUUUUGGACGGUAAGAUGGACUCUUCAUACCCAAACUCGGGGAGGCUGCCAAUCCUCUCACUCCUCCCACUCCAGUAUCCCCAAACCUACAACUCCGUGGGAGGGGGAGGUCAGAUGAAGCACGUCAUUUAUUUCACAAAGACUGUACAAAAUUCCUUAUAAAACAUGGGGUAGAUGCCGCCUGGUUACCUCACUCCGCCCCUAUCCAACUCCACGUGGGGGAUAGGCAAGGGCCGGAAGUGUGGAUGAACAGCGUUAUGUACAAGGCAGGGGCUGAAGUGAUAGGUACAAGUUCUGUCAUAUUUACACUAUUUCACAUAUUCACAGGUGUAUAGAGAGCCAGAGGACAUAAGCUCGGGCUCUGUUCUCUUGUAUAAAAAAGCACCAGUGUCCUGAACUGGACACCCACUGCUGAAAGAGCUGCAGAGGGGUCCAGGGCCUGAUCGUCACCGACUGAUAUCCCGACUGGAGUCCCACAGCUUGGUGCUGGGUGGCUCAGCCCGAAGGCGAGCGAAGAAAGGAUGCUGAAGGGCUUCACCCAAGCCCCCUGCUUGUGGAGCCCCUUCCAGGGGCAAAGCACCGUAAGCAGGAAGUGACCUCUGAGUGUUGGGAACUAUUUGUCCCCGCCUGGCUCACCCGAAGUGGUUUGCAGUUCUCACGAACGUAACGCCCAGCUGACGUGUUCUCAUCCCAAUCCAGGCGACCCCGGUAAAAAUAUUUCUGCUUUCUAGAGAAGGGGAGGUUGAGGAAUCAGAAAGUUAAAAGACUCUUCCCUUAUUUCCCCACAUGAGAGACUAACUGGGGGAGAUGUCAAAGAAAACAGAUGAUGUGAAACACCAGUUCUUCAGAGACAAAGAAAAAGGGUUAGGUCCCUCCCACUCAAGGUUUACCUUGUCUUCCGAAUCAUCCGAGAAGGGAUGGGACCCAGGAUCCUUUCCAUCAUGGCUAGAUGCUCUCUGUUGUCAUGAGUCUGGGAAACAGAGACCAAUCUGAGCACGGAAAUGAGAAGGGAUGUGGAGGAUCAACUGCCAGAUGGGCACGCAGGGUAAUGAGCAGGCAGGUCCCCAGCAGACCCAAGGAAAGCAGGCAGAAGAAGCCAGAUGGCCAAGACCCCUGCCCACUUACCUGGAAGAGAGUGAAGCCAACAUAGUACUCAAAGAUGAUGCACCCUAUACUCCACACGUCACAAGGCUGCGACCAGCCCAACUCUGGGGGCGGAGUAGAAAGGAACAGGUCCUGAGGGCUUAGAAGGCCUGAUGCUCACCACAUUGCUUCACAUGCUCAGACAGCCUGCCCUUUCUUACCAAGGAUGACUUCCGGUGCUCGGUAGUGGCGAGUGGAAACAAUGGUGCUAUGAUGCUCAUGGUCAAAGGUAGCACUGCCAAAAUCUACCACCCGCACAGCUGUGCUCUUCACACUGCGCUCAUCUCGCUUCUAGGAGCAAAGCAGGAAGUGAUGAAUCUCAGCACUACAGACCAAGAUUCUACCACUAUUCUCCACAGCGCUUCAGAGCCUUAAAAAGCAUCUGACCUAGGUGUGGUGCUACAUACCUGUAAUCCCAACCUGGGCAACUUAUAAUGAGACCCUGUCUCAAAACAUAACAUUAAAAAAAGGGUGGAGAUUUAGCUCAGUUUAGAGGCCCUGGGUUCAAUCCCCAGUACCACAUUAAAAAAUAAAAUAAGGUCUGGGGAUUUCGCUCAGUGGUUCUGCCACCUGUCUUGCAAGCAUAAGGACCCAAGUUCAAUUCCCAGUACCCUGCCCCCCCGCCCCAAAUAAAUAAAAUAAAAGCAAAGCCACUCUGGCUUGGUCCCUCUCACACACUCUGGAAAAUCCCUGGCUUACAACAG
ensembl:lncRNA